GGGUGAGAGCUUGAACCACCUGCAACACCUGUCAUCCUGAUGACCGGCAGGGUUGAUCCAGCUGAUCUGGCUGCCUCACCCUUGUCUGCUUUCCCCUCACUGCUCCAUGUGUGUACCUGUCCCAGCCAUGGGCUUGGUCAACCAUGAUGACUUUCCCCACCAAACUUCAUCCUUCAGCCAAGGACAGAUGGAAGGCUGCACCCUCCAGUUAAGCUCUUGCAAUACUGCUAAGGUAAAUGAGUCUGUUUGUUCUU
rnacentral:snRNA from 1 species